rnacentral:rRNA from 1 species
GGGACAGCCUCGGGAAACCGUGGGUAAUACCGGAUACUCCGGGACGGCCGCAUGGCCGGCCCGGGAAAGCCCAGACGGGAGGGGAUGGGCCCGCGGCCUGUUAGCUAGUCGGCGGGGUAACGGCCCACCGAGGCGAUUAUGGGUAGCCGGGUUGAGAGACCGACCGGCCAGAUUGGGACUGAGACACGGCCCAGACUCCUACGGGAGGCAGCAGUGGGGAAUCUUGCGCAAUGGGCGGAAGCCUGACGCAGCGACGCCGCGUGCGGGACGAAGGCCUUCGGGUCGUAAACCGCUUUCAGCAGGGACGAGGCCCUCACGGUGACGGUACCUGCAGAAGAAGCCCCGGCUAACUACGUGCCAGCAGCCGCGGUAAUACGUAGGGGGCGAGCGUUAUCCGGAUUCAUUGGGCGUAAAGCGCGCGUAGGCGGCCUGUUAGGUCGGGGGUCAAAUACCGGGGCUCAACCUCGGUCCGCCCCCGAUACCGGCAGGCUUGAGUCUGGUAGGGGAAGGCGGAAUUCCCAGUGCAGCGGUGGAAUGCGUAGAUAUAUGGAAGAACACCAGUGGCGAAGGCGGCUCUCUGGUCUGCAACUGACGCUGAGGCUCGAAAGCAUGGGUAGCGAACAGGAUUAGAUACCCUGGUAGUCCAUGCCGUAAACGAUGAGUGAUGAGUGUUGG